rnacentral:rRNA from 1 species
GACGAACGCUGGCGGCGUGCUUAACACGUGCAAGUCGAACGGAAAGGCCUGCUUUCCCUUGUGGAUUGCGGGUACUCGAGUGGCGAACGGGUGAGUAACACGUGAGUGAUCUGCCCCCAACUUGGGUAUAAGCCUGGGAAACUGGGUCUAAUUCCCGAUAGGACUGCAGGGUGGUGCCUGUGGUGGAAAACGAUUUUCUAGUGGUUGGGGAUGAGCUCGCGGCCUAUCAGCUUGUUGGUGGGGUAAUGGCCUACCAAGGCGGCGACGGGUAGCCGGCCUGAGAGGGUGGACGGCCACAUUGGGACUGAGAUACGGCCCAGACUCCUACGGGAGGCAGCAGUGGGGAAUAGUGCACAAUGGGCGGAAGCCUGAUGCAGCGACGCCGCGUGGGGGAUGACGGCCUUCGGGUUGUAAACUCCUUUCGACCGCGAGGAAGCCACCUGGUUGGAAGGGUGGUGACGGUAGUGGUAGAAGAAGCACCGGCUAACUACGUG